rnacentral:rRNA from 1 species
GACGAACGCUGGCGGCGUGCCUAAUACAUGCAAGUAGAACGCUGAAGAGAGGAGCUUGCUCUUCUUGGAUGAGUUGCGAACGGGUGAGUAACGCGUAGGUAACCUGCCUUGUAGCGGGGGAUAACUAUUGGAAACGAUAGCUAAUACCGCAUAACAAUGGAUGACACAUGUCAUUUAUUUGAAAGGGGCAAUUGCUCCACUACAAGAUGGACCUGCGUUGUAUUAGCUAGUAGGUGAGGUAACGGCUCACCUAGGCGACGAUACAUAGUCGACCUGAGAGGGUGAUCGGCCACACUGGGACUGAGACACGGCCCAGACUCCUACGGGAGGCAGCAGUAGGGAAUCUUCGGCAAUGGGGGCAACCCUGACCGAGCAACGCCGCGUGAGUGAAGAAGGUUUUCGGAUCGUAAAGCUCUGUUGUAAGUCAAGAACGAGUGUGAGAGUGGAAAGUUCACACUGUGACGGUAGCUUACCAGAAAGGGACGGCUAACUACGUGCCAGCAGCCGCGGUAAUACGUAGGUCCCGAGCGUUGUCCGGAUUUAUUGGGCGUAAAGCGAGCGCAGGCGGUUUGAUAAGUCUGAAGUUAAAGGCUGUGGCUCAACCAUAGUUCGCUUUGGAAACUGUCAAACUUGAGUGCGGAAGGGGAGAGUGGAAUUCCAUGUGUAGCGGUGAAAUGCGUAGAUAUAUGGAGGAACACCGGUGGCGAAAGCGGCUCUCUGGUCUGUAACUGACGCUGAGGCUCGAAAGCGUGGGGAGCGAACAGGAUUAGAUACCCUGGUAGUCCACGCCGUAAACGAUGAGUGCUAGGUGUUGGAUCCUUUCCGGGAUUCAGUGCCGCAGCUAACGCAUUAAGCACUCCGCCUGGGGAGUACGACCGCAAGGUUGAAACUCAAAGGAAUUGACGGGGGCCCGCACAAGCGGUGGAGCAUGUGGUUUAAUUCGAAGCAACGCGAAGAACCUUACCAGGUCUUGACAUCCCGAUGCUAUUUCUAGAGAUAGAAAGUUACUUCGGUACAUCGGUGACAGGUGGUGCAUGGUUGUCGUCAGCUCGUGUCGUGAGAUGUUGGGUUAAGUCCCGCAACGAGCGCAACCCCUAUUGUUAGUUGCCAUCAUUCAGUUGGGCACUCUAGCGAGACUGCCGGUAAUAAACCGGAGGAAGGUGGGGAUGACGUCAAAUCAUCAUGCCCCUUAUGACCUGGGCUACACACGUGCUACAAUGGUUGGUACAACGAGUUGCGAGUCGGUGACGGCAAGCUAAUCUCUUAAAGCCAAUCUCAGUUCGGAUUGUAGGCUGCAACUCGCCUACAUGAAGUCGGAAUCGCUAGUAAUCGCGGAUCAGCACGCCGCGGUGAAUACGUUCCCGGGCCU